AGUCCGAUGUGAAACUCCAAUGAAAAACUUUUUUCCAUUAUUUCACUCUGCCAUGGCCAUGGACUUAAGGACUCGAUCUUUCGAUCAUUAUAGGACUACUCCUCUCAUCUACCGAGGUUGAUAGAUCUCAUCUUGGUGUGAUUUGGUUCCUAUAAUGAAUAUGCUACAGUCAAUAUAUACUUCAGGAUUUUGAAUGGCUAGGAGAC
rnacentral:lncRNA from 1 species